rnacentral:rRNA from 1 species
AGAGUUUGAUCAUGGCUCAGGACGAACGCUGGCGGCGUGCCUAAUACAUGCAAGUCGAGCGGACUGGAGAGAGCUUGCUCUCGAAGGUCAGCGGCGGACGGGUGAGUAACACGUGGGUAACCUGCCUGGUAGACUGGGAUAACGCUUGGAAACGAGUGCUAAUACCGGAUAAUCUCCUGAAUCGCAUGGUUCAAGAGUAA